GAUGAAAACGUAGCGAAAUGCGAUAAGUAAUGUGAAUUGCAGAAUUCAGUGAAUCAUCGAAUCUUUGAACGCACAUUGCGCCCCCUGGUAUUCCGGGGGGCAUGCCUGUUCGAGCGUCAUUUCACCACUCAAGCCUCGCUUGGUAUUGGGCAACGCGGUCCGCCGCGUGCCUCAAAUCGACCGGCUGGGUCUUCUGUCCCCUAAGCGUUGUGGAAACUUUCGCUAAAGGGUGUUCGGGAGGCUACGCCGUAAAACAACCCCAUUUCUAAGGUUGACCUCGGAUCAGGUAGGGAUACCCGCUGAACUUAAGCAUAUCAAUAAGCGGAGGA
rnacentral:misc_RNA from 1 species